rnacentral:tRNA from 1 species
UUCCUGGGGGUCCAGUGGUUAAGACUCUGCACUUCCACUGCAGGAGUGCAGGUUUAAUCCCUGAUCAGGGAA